UAAUGCAUAGAUAAUGUGCCCCUUAGUUCGGGAUAGCCACUGGAAACGGUGAUUAAUACCGGAUACUCCUUCUUGUUAUAAGACAAGUCGGGAAAGUUUUUCGCUAAGGGAUCAGUCUAUGUUCCAUCAGCUUGUUGGUGAGGUAAUGGCUCACCAAGGCUAUGACGGAUAUCUGGUUUGAGAGGAUGAUCAGACACACUGGAACUGAGACACGGACCAGACUCCUACGGGAGGCAGCAGUGAGGAAUAUUGCACAAUGGAGGAAACUCUGAUGCAGCAACGCCGCGUGGAGGAUGACGCAUUUCGGUGUGUAAACUCCUUUUAUUAGGGAAGAUAAUGACGGUACCUAAUGAAUAAGCACCGGCUAACUCCGUGCCAGCAGCCGCGGUAAUACGGAGGGUGCAAGCGUUACUCGGAAUCACUGGGCGUAAAGGGUGCGUAGGCUGGCUUUUAAGUCAGAUGUGAAAUCCAAUGGCUCAACCAUUGAACUGCAUUUGAAACUGAAAGCCUAGAGUUCAGAAGGGGCAGAUGGAAUUAGUGGUGUAGGGGUAAAAUCCGUAGAUAUCACUAGGAAUAUCAAAAGCGAAGGCGAUCUU
rnacentral:rRNA from 1 species